GUCCUAUUUCUUCCACUGCCUCAUCUGCAGAUCUUGUUUUGUGUCAACAUUGUAUAGGUGAGGAAUUGGAGAGACUCACCCCUUCUUGGUGGUAAGAUUUCCUGUCCUGCCCCUGACUUAAUAGCCCCACCAGUUGGAGCUUGAGGGUUUAACAUGUGCCAAGUUCCUGCGGUGGGAGGCAGUUAGUUUAGAGGGCAAGCUGUUUGUGCUAUUUAAUAAGAUUGGAGAGGCUGGUGGGAGCGACUCUUCAGCAGCUGAAAGCCAAAGAAAAGAAUUGGUAUAUCCCAAGAGCAAUGAGAAAUCAAAUAAACAACUUCAGGUUCUCACAACCGUCACUCCUGUCCGACGCCUCGUUCCUGUACAACAUGGAGCCCAUGGGCCUUGAGGGUCCCUGAGCGCUCUGCCAGUGGCCUCUGCUGGGUUCCCUAGCGCUGCUGCUACAGCCGGUAACCUGUGCCCAAGCCACACCGGGCACCCUCAGCACCACGACCACACCAGACACCACUGGCUCUGAGACCACACUUCCAGGGUCCUGGGGCUACGAGAACGUGCUCGGGCCCUGAUGCGGGACUUCCCACUGGUGGGUGUGUAGGUGUCAUGUGGGGACAAAUGGGGGUUCCAAUGGGCAGAAGAGGGUUCCAAGCAUGCAGGGCUAUCAUGUAAGACCGAGGGCCUUACCAAACGCUCCGAGGAGCUGACUGCAGCGAAGAACACCCGGGGAUCCCAGCGGGGCCUAGGGGCCUCCAAAAUGUAAGACCGAGGGCCUUACCAAACGCUCCGAGGAGCUGACUGCAGCGAAGAACACCCGGGAAGGAACACACUGAACAUGUUGGAAAGUAAAACAGACCUUAGUCUGGCCAGGACGGCACUCCCAAAGCAAAGUAGCUUAGAGAGGCGACUAGCCCAGAGUCCGAGGCUCUUUUUAUAGGGGGUUGCAGGGGAAGUUAACAGGCGAAAUUUACAGAAGAGAAACAAAG
rnacentral:lncRNA from 1 species